AAAUCGGUGAGGAGGACCAACUUCUAAAUAAUUACCGAAAAGGUGGUCCUAAGUUUUAUAAAUUUAAACUGUUUUAAACUUAGCUUGAAAUGUAGGUAAACUAAUAAGAUUAUCAUUAAUAAAAGAUGAAAAUAAUUUUAUUGAAUUUCACUGCAAAAUGGUAUUUGUUGUAAUAUGAAAAUUAUCAAGGUAGUCAAAUUACCAGGAAGAGGUAAUAUUGGCAAAGUUAUAAACAGUUUUCUGUUUUGCUUGGCAAGCGAUUCGCAUGCUUCUGGUGCUCUUGCACGACAUGGAAACAACGGAUUAUUUACUUCUUAUCUUCCCAUUUAAACACAUGCUUCAUAACAAAGGAUUAUCAUCACGCUUCAGCAGGCAAUUGUUAGUUAUGUAUGUGUAUGUAUGCUCGUGAUCAGUCAACAAUUAAAGAGAUCCGUCUCCAAGUUCCCCUGAUGAGUACUCAUUAUCGGAAUAACAUCGUAUCAACCUAAUCAAAUGAUACUGCAGAUGCAAAAAAAUUUUCGAAGAGAAAUAUUAACGCUGAAAUAUACUGUUUUACACAAUCUUUAAGGUGAUCAAAUUCAACAGUUAAAUAAUUAGAAAGAAGAUAAGUAUAGAUAAAUAUAUGAUCCUGCCAUUUUAGUUUCAACGCAUUAACUAUCUAGGAGUCAUCAACGAUUGAUAUCUCAAAUAUAACUGAAUAAUUAAGAAAAAUUGUAAGUAAUAUUAUUAUUACACUAAUAAUGUAAAGUAGUAAAUUAAAUGCUUUAAUUGAAAGCUACGAUGAUGUGGAUCAGUGAUCCACAGGGAACGAUAAAAAUGUUAAAACAAAGAAUAAAAUAAAAAAUAAUUAAGUUA